AUUGAACGCUGGCGGCGUGCCUAACACAUGCAAGUCGAGCGGUAACAGGUGUAGCAAUACAUGCUGACGAGCGGCGGACGGGUGAGUAACGCUUGGGAAUCUGCCUAUUAGUGGUGGACAACCCGGGGAAACUCGGGCUAAUACCGCAUACGCACUACGGUGGAAAGCCGGGACCGCAAGGCCUGGCGCUAACAGAUGAGCCCAAGUCGGAUUAGCUAGUUGGUAGGGAACGGCCUACCAAGG
rnacentral:rRNA from 1 species